CUACGGAGGGUCCAAGCGUUAUCCGGAAUCAUUGGGUUUAAAGGGUCCGCAGGCGGUCAAUUAAGUCAGAGGUGAAAGCCCAUCGCUCAACGAUGGAACUGCCUUUGAUACUGGUUGACUUGAGUUAUACGGAAGUAGAUAGAAUAAGUAGUGUAGCGGUGAAAUGCAUAGAUAUUACUUAGAAUACCGAUUGCGAAGGCAGUCUACUACGUAUAUACUGACGCUGAGGGACGAAAGCGUGGGGAGCGAACAGGAUUAGAUACCCUAGUAGUCC
rnacentral:rRNA from 1 species